rnacentral:miRNA from 1 species
GAAAGAAGAAAAGAAGAGGUGGAGGAGGAGGAGGAGGAGGGGAGGAGGAGGAAAAAGAAGAAGAAGAAAAAGAGAAAGGGGAAGGGAAGGAGACUGAGGAGAUUUAUUAUUUAUUAUUAUUAAGAAUUGGAGUGGGUAAUAGUCAAACCUGGGGUAGCCUUGGCCCUCAGAUAUUCAAAUUAGAUCAUUGGGAUUGCAUCUAUCCCAGAUGUCUCUUUUUUCUCCUCCUCCUCCUCUUUCCCCUCCUCCUCCUCCUCAUUUUCC